AUGGAUGAGCACUACAGCACAUUCUGGAGGCACACGCGGGUGGUUGACGACAUGCUGGUGUUCGAGAUGGACGGCGAGGUUCUCAGCUACGGACAGGUGGACAGGGCUGCUGGGACAGACAAGAAGGAUGGGGAGGAAGCGGCUGCCCGGGCUGCUUCAGGGGAGAACGGCGGCGGCGUUAGGAAGGAGAAGGGGAAGGGGAAGAGGAAGGUGGGCAGGCCUGCGCUGAAGGCUCGUGUGCACGAUUCCCCUCCGCAUUGGCAAAAGGGCCGGAAGGAGAAGAAAGGAGCAAAAAAUGGUGGUAAGAAGAUCAAAGUGAUGGAGGAAGAAGAAGAUCAAGGUAGAGGAGUUAAAAAUCGUGCUCAGAAGAACAAGUCUCGUAUGCGCGAUUAUUCCCCUGCGCAUCGGCAGAAGAGUAAGGGAGAGAAGGACGGAGGAGAAAAUGGUGCUGAGAAGAUCAAGGAGGAGGAGGAAGAGGAGAAGGUGCCAGUGAUUAGCACGGGUAGGCCUCCGCUGAACGCUCGUGUUCUCGAUUCCCCUGCGCAUUGGCAACAGGGUUGGAAGGAGAAGAAGGGGGUGAAAAAUGGUGCUAAGAAGAUCAAGUUGGAGGAUGAUGAAGAGAAGCCGUCGAGGGGCCUGCCUGUGAAAACACUGAAUACUGUGAACAGAGAAAGGAAUUCAAGACAUGAUGCUGAGCCUCACGUUGCUUCGGGCUUAGAUGGUGUUGUAUGGCCUACACAUAUCAUGGAGAGGCCAGAUUCAGAAUUCAAGGAAAGGUUGAUCCGUGUUCUCCGCAAACCAUUUAGCCAGGGAGAAUACGAUAUGCUGCUUGGCAAUGCUAGAAUUCGCCUUCCGGCAACAAAGAAAAGGCAGACGCGCAGCGGUGUGAAGUACUACGACUCUACACAUGAAAGGGUGCAAUCAUAUUUUGAUUGUCACCCAGAUCUUGCGAAACAAGUACGUGUAGAAAGCACCAGCAAACCCAAUCAGCUAGCUCUGUUGCGUGGAUUUUUCUUCUGGAUGGAGAAUAUUACGAAUGAGGACCAAUUCAGGCCAUGGAGUGACGAUUUCAAACUUUACAAGAUCAUGGAAUGA
rnacentral:rRNA from 1 species